CCGCGCCCGGGCCGGCUCUCCACGCCGCGUCUUACAGAGGAUUCUAUGGAACUUCUAGCAGGCACACUUACCUAGAACUCUCUGGGAGGGGAUGUGGUGGAAUUCUGUCUGAUUCCCAUGUCGAUACACCAGUGAGCUCUGUACCAUCGCCUCAGAGACAGGAGAGAGAAGACGGAAGUGGACCUGAGCCCGUCUUCAUGCACCCCCAGCUAGCACAUGGUGGGCAUUCAAGAAACAGAGGCUGGAUUGCAUUUUCUUUGAAGGCCAAAAUUUGCCCUCUGUGUCUAAGGUGUCAUUCGAUACGACAACAAGGAUGUAGGGCAGUGAUCAACUAAAGAGCAUCACAAGAAUCAUCUGAGGAGACCUGUUAAAAUGCAGAUUCUGGGUCCUGGCUCCAGAGCUUCUGAUUCAGGCGGGUCCAGGAAAGACUUUCAACAAGACCCUCCAAUUACGCUGACACAAAUACAUCACAGAGGAUGUGGACGUUAUGAUAAAAUCACAGCCAAGCCAGGUGGAGUUCAGUUUUUGUCCUCUGACGGGAGCUGUUCCCAAACAUAUCCCCACUAAUAUUUAUAAUUUCUUUUCCUUAUAGGAGGGAAGAAGCCAGUGGUGUGCUGGUAAAUGUUUUAACUGACUUUCUGGGGAAAAAAUAAAAA
rnacentral:lncRNA from 1 species